UGUGAUUUAAUUAAAAUACUUUUUGUUAUAAUUAGCUUAAUCUUUAGUAGCUUAAGAAUCCUUAGAUGGAAAGUGAUUCGAAUUGAAAAUAAUUAAGAAGAUCAUCUAAUGUCAAUAAUAGCACAAAGCAGAAACUACUUUAAAUAGUGACUCAUAAUGAGCUAAAAAAAGCAUAACCAGAUGUUCGCGGAGGUCAUUCGGGAUCAUCAGGUGCAUACAUCGAAGAACACGAGUUUAUUAUAAUAAAGAUAUUUACGCGGUAAAUAUGCUUGAUGAUCUAUUCUUUGCGAAGACGUGGAUGAAUCGACAUCUAUGUUAUAUUUAUUUACAAAUUAAAUCUGAGAAGAAAAAAUCCAUCUCAAAUUUCACUCGGAGUGUGAAGUGUGUCAGUGAUAACUUACAAUCAUCAAUCGGAAAAAAUGUUCGUAAAUAUCGAAAAGAAAACAAAAUGAAAAGGUUCAAUUAGAAGUAUUUGAAAAUUUCUCUGCGCAAAGUUUAUACUGUUAUUGUGUAUAUCAAGGAAAGCAUUACAAAAUGGAGCUACAGGAAAAAUCCGCCUUUGCUCAGAAAAACCUGAUUUACGACACCAUCCCUCUUAUUAUUAUCGAGAAAAUGGAGAGGAAACAUUUCAAAGAUAAUAGAGAAACUCCAAAGUAUUAUCACGUUUCUAGUCCAUUUUGUAUGAAAUUCCGUUUAUUAUUAUUUUGGACAUUGUGGUUUGUAUUGAUUAUGGCGAUGAUGCUCUGUAUUCUCACAUAUUUUUGUUUCAUACCUCGAAUGUGUUAUAGUUCAAACAUACACAGAAACACAAACGGAUGAGUAAGUAUCCAAAAUUGAAACUCAUCAAAUAUACAGAAUGUUCAAAAAUUUAUGGUAUAAACUUUAUGUGUAGGUUAGGCCUUCUCGUUUAUUUUAACGAUUGUAUGCGUGCAAAGUUUAUAACCACAAAUUUUAGAACAUGUUUUUUCUCUCUGUAAAAAAUAUACAAUUUUAUAAAAUCCCAGAUUCUGUUAUCCAGUUAUUAGUUUUUAUCAAAGAACAAAUUUUUGUGGAAUUUAAUUAAUUUUGUCAAUAUUUAAGUAAUUUGCUCGUAUUCAAUGAAAUUGAUAAUCUAUUGAUUUAUAAUAUCGCUCCAAUAUACCUCUCGUCCAAUAUUUAACUAUUUUUAAAUAAAACAAUAAUAUCCUAUUAUAUUUUAAAUAUAUUAAUGUAUGUUUUAAAUGUGUA